rnacentral:lncRNA from 1 species
GGACUUUGACAGGAAGCAACGAGGCAAGAGGGAAGCUCGAGAACAGGUUUUGCUGAGGAUUCCCCCCAAGAAAAGUGCUCCCCGGGAGGCCGUUCCUGGCACCAAGACUGGCGGAGCCACCACACCCGUUAAAGGGAUCCACCUGGACAGCGAUCAGGCAAGCACCUCCAAGGAUCACGUAGGACCAGCAGAAGCAGCGUAAAGUAUUGGAACUUUGAAUCUGACAUCAGAAAGACCUGCACUCAGCCGGGCACGGUGGCUCACGAUUGUAAUCCCAGGCCGAGGCGGUGGAUCACUUGAGAUUCACUGAUUCUAGGUAAAUCAGAGGAACAAGCAACAUGAACAGAAAAAAUGUAGAAAAUGCAAUUAUGCUGAAGUACAAUUGUUGUUUCAGAAGUCCAGCAUCUGGUGUACUUAACAAUAGAGAAUAUAUUAAAUUUUUCCAAAAUAAAAAAAACAAGUAGGAGA